UCCAUAAAGAUUAAUUUCAGCAAAUUGUUGACUUAAAGGUCUAGCAUCUUGUCUUGUGGUAGAAGGCCAAGUUGGGUUGAAUCACGUUUAAAAUGACGUACGGGAGGUCAGUUAGGCCAAGUCAUAUUCGAAGUGGCAUAAGCCUGGUUUGGCCGACUCAAAAUCGAGAUCCGUGGGCGUGAUGUCUAUACGCUUUAAGCGAAUUAGUUGCUAGCUUGAACUUUGGAAUUAAUAGUUAGUACCAACGAUCCAACAAGUGGUAUCAAAACUAUAGGUCAUAGGCUCGAUUCAUGCAUGCUGCGAAUUUGUACAGAUGCUAGGAGGGAGAUUAAUUGUUGGCUUAAAGGGAUCAGCAUCCUAUCCUGUAGCGGGAAGCCAGGUUGGGCCGAGUCACGCUCAAAAUGGUGGGAGGUGGGGUUGGGUCGAAUCAUGUUCGAAAUGGCAUGAGACUGUUAGGCUGAGUCACAAUUAAGACCUGUGUAUGCUUAAGUGAAUUGGUUGGGAU
rnacentral:lncRNA from 1 species